UACGUAGGCAGCGAGCGUUGUUCGGAGUUACUGGGCGUAAAGGGUGUGUAGGCGGUCCCUUAAGUCCUGCGUGAAAUCCUGCGGCUCAACCGCAGACGGUCGUGGGAAACUGGAUGGCUAGAGUGCGGGAGAGGAGAGUGGAAUUCCCGGUGUAGCGGUGAAAUGCGCAGAUAUCGGGAAGAACACCCGUGGCGAAGGCGGCUCUCUGGAACGCAACUGACGCUGAGACGCGAAGCGUGGGGAGCAAACAGG
rnacentral:rRNA from 1 species